AUGCAAAACUCUUCAAUUUACAGACAGGGCCCUGCAAAGACACAAUGCAGACUACUUUUUGUCAAGGGAAUAUUCACUGUGUAUGGAUUUGUAUUUGGCUCUGGCACAAGACUUUAUGUGACAGACGACAAGCAUGUACAAAAACCCAAAGUGACGGUCUACCCAGCGUCCAACCCUGAGCCGAAUGGGAAGAUCACCCUGCUAUGUCUGGCUAGAGACAUGUUUCCAGACUUAGUCAAGAUCUCAUGGAAGAUGGAGGAUGAAUACAGCAGAACAAUGGAGGUGGCCAAAGCAGAGAGGGAAGAGCUGGAGCAGAGGGAGGAAGGACAGAUGACCAGUAUGAUCAUCAUUGAUAAAGAGAAGAUGUACAGGAACAAAUACAUCUGUUCUGUGGAGCAUGAAUGGGGCAUUCAAGAUGUUGACAUACCAAGGGAUUCCUUCCCGCUCAUGUGCAGUCUGAACCUGGCCUCUCUGGUUUAUACAGUGAUGAUAGUGAAGAGCAUGGUGUACUGCUGUGGGCUCUCUCUCCUGCUGCACCACAGGAACAUGGGGAAGUGGACACAACACCUGUAGAAAGGAUACUCCCCAGUAUGGAUAAAGAUGUAGUAGGCUGGGAAUAACAUGGAUUUUACAUCCUAUUGAGGUCUAACAUCUCAAUUGUUGGCCUAUUGCCUUAAUUUUUUCAACUUUAUUUUUCAAAUGCUAAAAUAUUGUGAGCCAUAGAUUUCCAUGUCUUCCGAUAACUUAAAUUGACAAUUAUGACAUUAAUUGCAGAACAUUUCAUGUAAAUUGUGUUUCAUUGCUUAAAAUAAAAAUGAAGCCUAAUACUGCAUUUUUGUAUAGCUGUGGGGGCUACCCACUGCAGACACUUGAAUAAAGGUUAGGUUAAGGUUGUCUGAAAAAUAAGCAAAGCAAAUCUUGAAGAUAGAUUCUUACGAUUCAAAUGUAGACUGUUUUAUGAAAGUUUCCCUUGAGUAUCUGUCAUAUAGCUUAAAUUAUUUUGUACAAAAUCUGAAUUUGAUUUAUACAAAAAUAUUUUACCUAAAUAUUAUAUUUACCAAUACAUUAUUAAAUAUGUAGGCUCAUGACUUCCAAAUAUCCUAUGUCUCAUUAGCCAAUAUAAUAUUUCGUAACUUGUUGUGUGUAUGAAGUUUCUCCCCCCCCCCCCCCAAUAAAAGUGUUCAUUUCAUAUCAUAAUUCAAUUAUUUUGUUCAUUACAUGAGAAAUAGAAAAUAUAUUUAUAUUUCUAAAAUUAUUGCUUAUUAAGCAGACAAAUUGAUCCGAGUGAAAUUAUUAAUUGGUGUGGGUUUUUUUUGUAUUUUUUUUUGCAUUAACUAUGUUGUUGUUUACAUUGAUAGGUUUGUAUGAAGAGUAACAUUUUCCUGCGUACACAUUAAUCAUGUCCUUUCAGAUGGGGAAGGUUUAAUAUUUGCUACCUUCAUGAAGAAAUGUUACAACAAACAUUACUCUGCAAAGUAUUCUACAUACUGUUUGUACAGUAUUGGGCUGUUUUGUAUGAGGAAAUUGUCACCAAACAGAAAAAAA
rnacentral:lncRNA from 1 species